AGAGGGGGCAAGCGUUGUUCGGAAUUACUGGGCGUAAAGGGCGCGUAGGCGGCCUUCUAAGUCGAACGUGAAAUCCCCGGGCUCAACCCGGGAACUGCGUCCGAUACUGGUAGGCUCGAAUCCGGGAGAGGGAUGUGGAAUUCCAGGUGUAGCGGUGAAAUGCGUAGAUAUCUGGAGGAACACCGGUGGCGAAGGCGACAUCCUGGACCGGUAUUGACGCUGAGGCGCGAAAGCCAGGGGAGCAAACGGGAUUAGAUACCCCGGUAGUCCUGGCCCUAAACGAUGAAUGCUUGGUGUGGUGGGUAUCGAUCCCUACCGUGCCGAAGCUAACGCAUUAAGCAUUCCGCCUGGGGAGUACGGUCGCAAGGCUGAA
rnacentral:rRNA from 1 species